GAUGAACGCUGGCGGCGUGCCUAAUACAUGCAAGUCGAGCGAACGGACGAGAAGCUUGCUUCUCUGAUGUUAGCGGCGGACGGGUGAGUAACACGUGGAUAACCUACCUAUAAGACUGGGAUAACUUCGGGAAACCGGAGCUAAUACCGGAUAAUAUUUUGAACCGCAUGGUUCAAAAGUAAAAGACGGUCUUGCUGUCACUUAUAGAUGGAUCCGCGCUGCAUUAGCUAGUUGGUAAGGUAACGGCUUACCAAGGCAACGAUGCAUAGCCGACCUGAGAGGGUGAUCGGCCACACUGGAACUGAGACACGGUCCAGACUCCUACGGGAGGCAACAGUAGGGAAUCUUCCGCAAUGGGCGAAAGCCUGACGGAGCAACGCCGCGUGAGUGAUGAAGGUCUUCGGAUCGUAAAACUCUGUUAUUAGGGAAGAACAUAUGUGUAAGUAACUGUGCACAUCUUGACGGUACCUAAUCAGAAAGCCACGGCUAACUACGUG
rnacentral:rRNA from 1 species